GGCGCUGUAGAUAAAGUACCGUAAGGGAAAGAUGAAAGAACUAUUAAUAGCACAAAAAAGCAGAGAUUACUACUCUUAUCUUUUGCAUAAUUAAUUAGCUAGAAAACCCUUAGCAAAAAGAAUUUUAGUUAAAAACCCCGAAGCCAGAUGAGCUAUCUAUGAGCAGUUAUAAGAACGAAUCCGUCCAUGUAGCAAAAUGGUGAGAAGACUUGUAGAUAGAGAUGAAAAGCUAACCAAGCCUGGUGAUAGCUGGUUGUCCAGAACAGAAUUUUAGUUCAACUUCAGAUUUUUCCAAAAGGACAUCCAACCCUAAUGAAAAUCUAAAUGUUAGUCUGAAGAGGGACAGCUCUUUAGAAACAAGGAUACAACUUUUAUAAAGAGUAAGUAAUUUAGUACCCAUAGCUGGCUUAAAAGCAGCCAUUAAUUAGGAAAGCGUUAAAGCUCAACAAUCAAAAAUAACUUAAUCAAAAUAUUCAAAAUGAACUCUUAUAAAUCUCAACUGAACUAAUCCAUAAAUCUAUAGAAGAAAUAAUGCUAAUAUGAGUAACAAGAACAAUAUUCUCCUUGCACAAGCUUAUAUCAGAUCAGAUGCCCACUGAUAGUUAAAAAUUAUAAGAGAAAAACUCACAAACUGAUGCUCUAUUAAUUUUUACUGUUAACCCAACACAGGUGUGCAGCAGAGGAAAGAUUAAAAGAAGGAAAAGGAACUCAGCAAACCCUAACCCUGCCUGUUUACCAAAAACAUCACCUCUAGCAUAACUAGUAUUAGAGGCACUGCCUGCUCAGUGACACACGUUCAACGGCUGCAGUAUCCUGACUAUGCAAAGGUAGCAUAAUCACUCGUUCCCUAAUUAGGGACUACCAUGAAUGGCAACACGAGGGUUAAACUGUCUCUUUCUUCUAAUCAGUGAAAUUGACCUCCCCAUGAAGAGGCAGGGAUAAAACAAUAAGACCCUAUGGAGCUUUAUUAUUUAACCCCAAAUUUCCUUAACCUCACUCAACAAGAGCCUAACAAGGAAAUCCUGGGUUAAAAGUUUUGGUUGGGGUGACCUUGGAGCAUAAACUAACCUCCAAAUGAUUUAAGCCUAGACCCAACAAGUCAAAGCACUUAAAAUCAUAAAUUGACCCCAAAACCUUUUGAUCAAUGGAACAAGUUACCCUAGGGAUAACAGCGCAAUCCUAUUUUAGAGUUCCCAUCGACAAUAGGGUUUACGACCUCGAUGCCGGAUCAGGACAUCCCAAUGGUGCAACCGCUAUUAAAGGUUCAUUUGUUAAAUGAUUAAAGUCCUACGUGAUCUGAGUUCAGACCGGAGAAAUCCAGGUUGGUUUCUAUCUAUUAAGUAUUUCUCCCAGUAUGAAAAGACAAGAGAAAUAGAGCCUACUGCUCUGCAGAGCUCUAAGUUUAAAAGAUGAAAUAAUCUUAAUCUAGUACACUUAGCCAUAUACCACCCAAGAACAGGGUUUGUUAAGGUGGCAGAGCCUG
rnacentral:rRNA from 1 species